GAGGAGGUGACGCAAGUCACAGACUUGCCUCUUUCUAGAACAGGUCCCUCUGGUUGUGGUAUGUGGGAUGCCGCCUCAACAUGGCCUGAUGAGCAGUGCCACGUCUGCGUGCCCAGGAUCCGAACCUGCGAAACCCUCGGCUGCUGAAGUGGAGCGCGUGAACUUAACCACUCAGCCACGGGGCUGGCUCCUAGGACAUCUCAUAUUGGACUAGCCCUAUUUCCAGCACUCAGUGGACACACAUAGCUGGACAGUGCAGUAUUGUGCUGGGUGUCAAGGAGAGAACAGGGAACAGGAUGGGCAAGGUGUCUGCCUUCACUGAGUUGACAGUCUGGUGUGGGAAACAUGUAAUAAAGAGACAGCAGUUUAUUCCCCGAAGGAUGUCACCAUCUCGGGAGAACAUAUUCCAAUUAUCCUGGAAAACAAGCUAAAGCAAAGUAUGAAUCCACCUGAGUGGCGCUCAAGGUCCCAGGGAUUCUGUCCUUCUCCAGGCAGCACACAGGAGGGCAGCCUGCAGCAUCAAAGGGCACGAGCUUGGCUCAGAUCCAUGAUUUCAGUUUGGGGCAUAAAUAGGACAUUUAAUGGGAAAAAAACCCCAGACAUCUGAGAGCUUGCAUAGAGGCAUUCUAACAAACAAGAAAGCAUCUACCAGCUACCUGGCGUCUGUGUGUGAAGCAGACUGUAAUGAAG
rnacentral:lncRNA from 1 species